CAACCUUCAAGCUCUGCUUGGUCUUGGGCUUCCGCUGGUCACCCAGCGGGCCUCAAACCCAGUGGCGGUGCCAUCGGGCUUCAAGCGUAGUAACACAUCUCGCUUCUGGAGAUCCUGGUGGUUGCUUGCCAGCAAACCCCUUCUUCUCA
rnacentral:misc_RNA from 1 species